AGUGAACGCUGGCGGUAGGCCUAACACAUGCAAGUCGAACGGCAGCACAGUAAGAGCUUGCUCUUACGGGUGGCGAGUGGCGGACGGGUGAGGAAUACAUCGGAAUCUACUUUUUCGUGGGGGAUAACGUAGGGAAACUUACGCUAAUACCGCAUACGACCUACGGGUGAAAGCAGGGGAUCUUCGGACCUUGCCCGAUUGAAUGAGCCGAUGUCGGAUUAGCUAGUUGGCGGGGUAAAGGCCCACCAAGGCGACGAUCCGUAGCUGGUCUGAGAGGAUGAUCAGCCACACUGGAACUGAGACACGGUCCAGACUCCUACGGGAGGCAGCAGUGGGGAAUAUUGGACAAUGGGCGCAAGCCUGAUCCAGCCAUACCGCGUGGGUGAAGAAGGCCUUCGGGUUGUAAAGCCCUUUUGUUGGGAAAGAAAAGCAGCAGGUUAAUACCCCGCUGUUCUGACGGUACCCAAAGAAUAAGCACCGGCUAACUUCGU
rnacentral:rRNA from 1 species